UAGGGAAUCUUCGGCAAUGGGGGCAACCCUGACCGAGCAACGCCGCGUGAGUGAAGAAGGUUUUCGGAUCGUAAAGCUCUGUUGUAAGAGAAGAACGUGUGUGAGAGUGGAAAGUUCACACAGUGACGGUAACUUACCAGAAAGGGACGGCUAACUACGUGCCAGCAGCCGCGGUAAUACGUAGGUCCCGAGCGUUGUCCGGAUUUAUUGGGCGUAAAGCAAGCGCAGGCGGUUUAAUAAGUCUGAAGUUAAAGGCAGUGGCUUAACCAUUGUUCGCUUUGGAAACUGUUAAACUUGAGUGCAGAAGGGGAGAGUGGAAUUCCAUGUGUAGCGGUAAAAUGCGUAGAUAUAUGGAGGAACACCGGUGGCGAAAGCGGCUCUCUGGUCUGUAACUGACGCUGAGGCUCGAAAGCGUGAGGAGCAAACAGG
rnacentral:rRNA from 1 species